UGGGCGCUCGGGUGCAUGGUGCUUUGGGCGCCUUGGGUGCGUCCUGUGGCGCUUGUCUUGAAGGUGGGGGCUUGGGUCGCGCCCCGUGGUGCUCGUC
rnacentral:tRNA from 1 species